CAGUCUUGAGUAUGUCUUUAUCAGCAAUGUGAGAAUGAACUAAUACAAUGGGCAAAUAUUUAGGAAAAUUUUACUCAAUACAAAGAAAUCCUGGCCUCAAAACUGACAUGAUUUUUACAUAUACAAUAUCAUGUACAAAUAGUUUAUAACUUAAUCCACAUUCUCUUCUUUCAUAAGCAUAUAAGAAGAAUACAAGCAUACCUGUGGUAUGGGAAAUGGAAAGACUACUUACUAUUCCCAAUUUUGAGUAAACCUAGCUUUCAUUUGUGAUUAUAAGAAAUGUUUUUCCUAGUAAAAUUCUGACCAUAAUAUUUCUAAAAAUUAACACUUCAUUCAUUGAUUCACUAACUCAUUCAUACAGCUAACGUUUAUUGAGCACCUACUAGGUUCUAAGAAUGUAUUAGUGGAAAAAGCACAAAGAUAUAUAGAUCUGGAUCACUGACCUCUCCUACUACUCAGAAAGGAAUCUGACCCAUUAUGUAACAGCCAAGAAUGGUGAGCUACUGAAACACUCUUUCACCUCUUGGUAUUUCAGAGGAUGAAUAUGAGGAAGAGGAUGCUAUGUACAUGAUUAGUGGACAGACAGGUGGCUGUUUUAAGAACCACCUCUAGACAAAAUAAUUUGCAAUAGCUCUGAUAAGAAAGAUGUCAACACAAUUAGCUUUUGCAUGCAUUUUAAAAAUUUUGGUAUGGACUUUCCAGUGAAGGUUUUGUAAACUGAUAUCUCAUCCAUACCGAAGGAUGGUACCAUGUUUUUGCCGGUGGUACUCUAAUGUUCAAAUUUGUGAAGUAAAGUAUGUGGUUUACUUGUGAUGCAACUCCUGCAUUUGUUGCCAAUGGCAAUGGUUGUUUUCUUCAUUAGGUUUCAUAUGGUUGGUCAGGUUAUGUCAUGAGAAUUGUAUUGAGAAAAAUUAUGAGUUUGUUGAGUGCCAGCUCUCUGCAGUGAGAAUGGUUGGGGGGUGAGGGUGGGGGGAACUGGCAGUGUUUCUUCUGGUAGGUGAACAGAAAUGCAGACUCGUGGGCACUCUACACAAGCCUUUCCACAUCAACUGGCCUCCCCUCUCCCCAUCCCCGGCAUCUAUUUUCUAGCCUUUAGAAAAUUGCAUACAUGUGUCUGGAAAGUUCCAUCGAUCAGCUCUUUCUGCAGCACUCCACAUUUCUGUGGCUUCAGAAAACCUUGAAUUGUAAUCUCCCUCUUCUCUCAGGAUGCAUCACUGAGAAAAACUUAAAUCAACUAUAAUUUUCAACAGAUUCUAAACAGGGAUUUAGAAAGAUAAGGUGGUUACUGAAUUGAAUUAAAAUAAAUUCAGGCUGUAGUCCAAUUGCUUCCAGCUCUUCCCCUCCCUCUGUGGGCUAACAAGUGUUUCCAAAGCCAUAGGGCAUUAAGAAUCCUGAAACAGCUAAUUAACAGGGCUGCUCUACAUCACAUGAAGCAUGUGGGUUCCAGGCAGCUGUAAAACCUCAGCUUCCUGAGGCUAUCCGAGUGAUGAUGAAGCACUUGGAAUUGGAUCUUGACAUUCUGCUACCUGCCUGUGGCAGAAAAUAACCUUUUUAACAGGGACUUUAGGCGAGGAUAGUACUUUGGGCACAAAAAAGUCUCAUUGCCAUGACUAUGAAAAAGUACAUGAACAUUUCCUCAUGUUCAGACUGUGACUCAUGACUGGCCUGUUAACGGACAGAGGAAGCCUCAGGCGUUCUCUUGACACAUCGUCCAACCAAGUGAAAUACGGGAUUGGUGAGAUGCUUUUUCAUAGCUUUGAAUCAAGUAUCUUCCAAAAGGCAGAUAAAACCAAGAUAAAAGAGGUCAUUGAUGCCCUUUUUCAACAUUUUUUUUUCCACCUAUCUAAAGAUUUCGCCAGGAGAAAUAGAGGGCUAGCCUACUAUAUUUCACAGGGAAAUAAACAAAAGCGAUAAUAAAAACUUAGCAUUUUUUCAAAAACAUUGGACAUGUUGACAUGAAUUGGUCUCAUCUCACAUAGAUCUGAGUAUAAAUUAUGUGCUUUAUUAAUAAAAUAUUCUGUCACACUGACAAUGUCUUAUCUCUUGCCUCCAGCCUAUAAUCCAUUUCCCAUAACGUUAUAACAAAAGUCUUUCUAAAACGUGUCAUUCCUCUACUUGAAUAACCUUGAUUUCUUCCUCUAUUUCAUGGUAGAUAAUCUGCACAUUUCUUAUGCGCCUUAUACCAAGGCUUUCACUACCGGAUUCACAGCUCUGUAACUUCGUCUCAGGGGACUGGGGAGAAUAUUCUGGAGCUACAGAAAUUUAGUUGCCGACAUGCCAUGUCCAUUUAAACCUAUUACCACAUCUUCCCAUUCACUUUCUUUCUGCUGAGUUCUUCGUUUUAUCUUAAGGUGCUGAUUCAAUGUCACUUGCUUUGGGAAUACUUUCUUCACCUCUCAAACAGAAGGAAUCACACCCUUUGUCACUUGUAUUCACUACUCUAUCACCCAUACACAUGGGUAGGUCUGUGACUUACCUUUUUGUCCCAGAUGUCUUUAUUAUCAUCUGUAAUAUACAGAAGGAAGGUGAUAAAUGACUUGCUGAAGGAUAGAUGGACAGAUAAAUGGAUGGAAUUAGAUCAUUGAACUAUACCUAAAAGCUCUUAUAAUUCUAUAUUUUUAUGAUUUAUUUUUAAUGAGGAGCUUUUGAAGUGAUUACUAGAAAAUAUACCAAUUAGCGACCACAAUUAAUAUUCAGUGACAUUUAAAAUUUCAAGUGAGAUUUUAAUUCACUCCUUGAAUUUGUAUGUCUUUUAUAUAGGCAUCUCACUACAACGACCUUAGAGGUGGCAUAAACUGAAAUAUAAAAGCUGGGUCUAUCAAGCAACUAAAAUCUGAUUUGAUGGUUAAAAGCUGGAAAAAUCCAAGAAUGAAUGAAAGAGCUUGUAGAUAGGCCCAGACAGUGGGCAGCAUGGCUCUUCUCCAGCCUGGGACACAGCUCAUCACUCAGGGUGGAUCCUGGAGAGAAGCUGCCUGAGUUCAGCCUUUGCCUAUCCCAGUACUCACUGUGUGCACCCAGAGGAGCUUCUGUGUAUCUGUGAGACCCUGUUUCCUCAUCUGCAAUACCAGGACUCAUAUCCUAGCGGGGCUCUGAAAACUAGAUCAGCUAAUGUAAGGCUUGGCCAUGUAUUUUCUCAAGAAUCGUUGCUGUGAAAGAGCCAGUGAAGUCACAGAGGGUAAAGUCAAUGGUCAACCUUCCUGAUUAAUGAAUAUUGAUUGAGCAUUCACCAUUUAAUAGUUAGCUCCUUCUAAGUCUAAUCGUUUUUAGUUUCUCCUGACACCUGUCAUGUAAGAGGCUCUAUAUGUGAGGAUAGACUUAGGGGGCAGUUGGUUCCUCUUUUUGGACACAGAACAGGAAGAAUAAAGAGAUCUCAGAAGGAAAAGGAAAGUGGGAGGAGGCUGGGUCUGUGGGUUCCCCGGUGGAUCACGCUGAAAGAAUACCUGGCAGACACUUAAUCUCUGCGGCAAAUGCAUGAAAGUAGAAGGAUGAAGCCAACUUUCCAAAAACUUUUAUGAAAUUACUUCAGUGAGAAAACCUAUUAAAUAAAUUACAGCCAUUCUAUAAAAA
rnacentral:lncRNA from 1 species